UGGGAUUUCAGUUGAGAUCUCUCAACCUUGAGAAGUCUAGGAGGAGAGGUCUGGUCAAACCUUUCUCCUGGGAUAUACCCAUCUCUUUCUUCUCCUGGUGACUGGACAUUUUCUCCACCAAUUCCCAACUAAAGGAACAUCUGAAGAAGACAUUUGAGCCUCUGUAAACUUUACCUCAUAGCUCCUGGUGCCAUGGGGCUAAACUGUGGCCAGGGGGCCAAAGACCAGGGCCAAUCAACUUGAUUCUUUUUUCAGGGUGCUCAUGAUGCCAAGGCCUGAGUUCCCUCUAGACUUGAGAAAGGAGGGAAAAGGGAUAGUCAGAAAAGGGACAUCUACCUAAUUUUCCUCACCCAUUCUUUCCCUGCCAGCCAUUUUCUUUGUGUUACCCUAGUUGAUUUAAUUUAUGUUAAAAUUGUUAUCUUUUCCCAAAUUGACUCAAGUGUGAGUGGAAUAGCUUAAGUGGAGGGGGGGGGAGAGUAAUCUUCUUGAGAAGAAAUCUUUUAGGUUCUAGUAGUGGAGGGAGACAAGAGCCAAUCUGUAAGAGCAGCCAUAGCUGAAAAGGGAAGGCUGAAGGGGAAAAUUAAUCAAAACCUCCUUUUCUUUCUCUGAGCCAACCUUAAACCAUCAUCUGUCUCUCCUGGAUCCCAUUUUCUCUUUACCAUCAACCAAUCCCUUCCUUAUACAAGACACCAAAGAGAGAGUAGAAUCCUUCCUUCCUUCCUUCCUUCCUUCCUUCCUUCCUUCCUUCCUUCCUUCCUUCCUUCCUUCCUUCCUUCCUUCCUUCCUUCCUUCCUUCCUUCCUUCCUUCCUUCCUUCCUUCCUUCCUUCCUUCCUUCCUUCCUUCCUUCCUUCCUUUCUUUUCCUCCCUCCCUCUCUCCUGCCCCACUCAGCCUCCCCCCUCAAAACUAGACAACUCUGCCUGGGGCAUUGAUCUUCACUAAGGAGAAAGUCUAUAUCAAUGGACUUUGGGACUCAAGUCACAUGAGAAAGAUAGAACGGAUUACAGAAGAAUGCUGAGGUACACUUGAACUUGUUCUGCCCUAGUCAGACCAUAUCUCAAGUAUUAUGUUUAAUUUUAGGUGCCACUGUUUCAGAAGGAUAUUGAUUAGUUUGAG
rnacentral:lncRNA from 1 species